UUAAAUUGAAGAGUUUGAUCAUGGCUCAGAUUGAACGCUGGCGGCAGGCCUAACACAUGCAAGUCGAGCGGAAACGAGUUAUCAGAACCUUCGGGGAA
rnacentral:rRNA from 1 species